UACGUAGGGUCCGAGCGUUGUCCGGAAUUACUGGGCGUAAAGAGCUCGUAGGCGGUCCGUCGCGUCGGGAGUGAAAACUCGGGGCUCAACCCCGAGCCUGCUUUCGAUACGGGCGGACUAGAGGUAGGUAGGGGAGAACGGAAUUCCUGGUGUAGCGGUGGAAUGCGCAGAUAUCAGGAGGAACACCGAUGGCGAAGGCAGCUCGCUGGGACGGUACUGACGCUGAGGCGCGAAAGCGUGGGGAGCGAACAGG
rnacentral:rRNA from 1 species